rnacentral:rRNA from 1 species
CCCUUAGAUGUUCUCGGCCGCACACGCGCUACACUGAAAGAGGCAACGUGUUUGCCUGAUUCGAAAGAAUUGGGUAACCCCCUAAUCUCUUUCGUGCUGGGGAUUGAGGUUUGCAAUUAUCCUUCAUGAACGAGGAAUUCCCAGUAAGUGCAAGUCAUAAGCUUGCGCUGACUACGUCCCUGCCCUUUGUACACACCGCCCGUCGCUACUACCGAUUGAAUGAUUUAGUGAGGACUUCGGACUGGGACCGAUGCGGCUUUCGGGCUGCGUCGGUAUUCUGGAAAGAUGUCCAAACUGUAUCAUUUAGAGGAAGUAAAAGUCGUANCA